rnacentral:lncRNA from 1 species
UUUUAGAAUGAGUGUUGAAUUCAGCGAUAAAAGUUUACAAAAAUAUAUUUGCACAGUAAAAUUACUUAUGGGUGCGUUUGGUUCGCACUAUAAAAGAUUACUAGCAAUAAAGAGAUAUCUGCAAAUCUUAUUCAUAUUCAUCCUAUUACUAAGAAUGUGACAUUCCUGUGUUUGGUUCGCACGGUUAUAUUAUUUAGUCAUGUUAUUUAAGUUUACAAAAAAUAUACAAUUAAUUUAUUUAUUUUUUUAAUGAAUUUUAGAUAAUGCCAUCAAAAAUUUCGACAUCUUUUAUAAAAAAGGAGAGAGAGAACAUAGGUUAGAGAGAGAGAGCAUAAUUAAAGAAAUAGGAAGAGAAAUAGAGUCGAGGUUAGAAGGAGCAAGAGAGUUGAGAUUUUGGAAAAAGAGGAGGAGAGAGAGCUUAGUUUAGAGAGAGAAAAAGAGUUAAAGUUUAGAGAGAAAAAAUUAAGUCUAGAAAGAGAUAUGAGGUUAGAGUGUAAACAAAAAUAAUACCAACUAACCGGCGGGUAGGGAGAAAGAAAGAGAUUAGACAUAUUAUGAUUAUCCCAAUUCAUUAAUAUGAGGAUACCCACUAUCUCUCAAGGGAAUGUGAUUAGUACUUUGGGAUGAAUCUCAUUUCCAAGUAAAUCUAAUAUUACAAACUAGAUUACUUAGUGCAUUUAGCCAAACAUCGUCAUAUUUUUUUAUUCCUAUCGAAUUACUAUGAAUCUGAAAAAGAUAGUGCAAACUAAACGCGCCCUAUAAGUAAAACAAUAGGAUUAUAAAAAUUGAAUAAACUUGCUCAACAAACUAUUAUUGAUUUUG